rnacentral:rRNA from 1 species
UACGAAGGGGUCUAGCGUUGCUCGGAAUCACUGGGCGUAAAGGGUGCGUAGGCGGGUCUUUUAAGUCAGGGGUGAAAUCCUGGAGCUCAACUCCAGAACUGCCUUUGAUACUGAGGAUCUUGAGUCCGGGAGAGGUGAGUGGAACUGCGAGUGUAGAGGUGAAAUUCGUAGAUAUUCGCAAGAACACCAGUGGCGAAGGCGGCUCACUGGCCCGAUACUGACGCUGAUGCACGAAAGCGUGGGGAGCAAACAGG